UACGUAGGGGGCAAGCGUUGUCCGGAUUUAUUGGGCGUAAAGAGCGUGUAGGCGGCCAGAUAGGUCCGUUGUGAAAACUCGAGGCUCAACCUCGAGACGCCGAUGGAAACCAUCUGGCUAGAGUCCGGAAGAGGAAAGUGGAAUUCCUGGUGUAGCGGUGAAAUGCGCAGAUAUCAGGAAGAACACCAAUGGCGAAAGCAGCUUUCUGGGACGGUACUGACGCUGAGACGCGAAAGCGUGGGGAGCGAACAGG
rnacentral:rRNA from 1 species